UAGGGAGACCUAAUCCAUUUAGAAAUCGAAAGCAAUCAGUAAAUAGAUUCUCAACUGGUCUACUCUAGGUCGGUCGCAAACUUGAAGAACGUCUUUCAAACUAUGAUUGGGUUCAUUUAAGGGCUAUUAGCUCAGGUGGUUAGAGCGCGCCCCUGAUAAGGGUGAGGUCCCUGGUUCGAGUCCAGGAUGGCCCACCUGAAAGAGCAGUCAGCCAUCAGCAGUCAGCAGUCAGCAGAGAAAAGCUGAUAACUGAAAGCUGAUAACUGAAAGCUUUGGAUGGGGGUUUAGCUCAGUUGGUAGAGCGCCUGCUUUGCAAGCAGGAUGUCAGCGGUUCGAGUCCGCUAACCUCCACAUUGGAAAAAUUCAGCACCUGAAACUACGAAAAUAGUACAGACUGCUGGGUAAAUACCAGCCAGAACCUUGAAAACUGCAUAGUAACGCGAGGCAGUCAGUAGAAAAAACUGACGUUAAAAAAAGCCAAUGUAAAGU
rnacentral:tRNA from 1 species